rnacentral:rRNA from 1 species
ACACUCCUGCGGGAGGCAGCAGUGGGGAAUAUUGCACAAUGGGCGCAAGCCUGAUGCAGCCAUGCCGCGUGUAUGAAGAAGGCCUUCGGGUUGUAAAGUACUUUCAGCGGGGAGGAAGGCGAUAAGGUUAAUAACCUUGUCGAUUGACGUUACCCGCAGAAGAAGCACCGGCUAACUCCGUGCCAGCAGCCGCGGUAAUACGGAGGGUGCAAGCGUUAAUCGGAAUUACUGGGCGUAAAGCGCACGCAGGCGGUCUGUCAAGUCGGAUGUGAAAUCCCCAGGCUCAACCUGGGAACUGCAUUCGAAACUGGCAGGCUAGAGUCUUGUAGAGGGGGGUAGAAUUCCAGGUGUAGCGGUGAAAUGCGUAGAGAUCUGGAGGAAUACCGGUGGCGAAGGCGGCCCCCUGGACAAAGACUGACGCUCAGGUGCGAAAGCGUGGGGAGCAAACAGGAUUAGAAACCCGUGUAGUCCCA